ensembl:lncRNA
AUGUCGCAAAAAAGGACUUACCCUUCAGGGGCAGAAAAAAGAAAAAGGAAGAAAGAUGAAGACGACAAGAUAAAGGUCCAUCUCUAUCCUCUGUGCCCACUGUCCCUUUUGUGUCUUCUGCAACCUCAGCUGUACCUGGUCCUUCAUCUUUGGUCAUCGAGAUUGAUUUGUCCUCAUCAGCGUCCAGUUUGGUGCAGGGAUCAGCAGCUCCGCCAGUUGACCCAGCUGAGUGUCCCUCUUUCUUGUCAGACUCAGAAAGGACUGAACAGGUAUUAAGAGGGCCACUGCCUAUAGAGGACACAGUCAUAUUCCCAAAAAGACACGAUGGCCGAAGCCCCCGUCCCAUUUUACCAAAGAUUUUGCACAUUUUUACAUAGUUUUCAGACCUAAUUCAUCUUAAUAUUUUAUUUAUAAACCAUUUGUGUUACCUUGUACCUAGUAUUUGUCUGAUUUUUUAAAAAUUUAUUGUAUUUAAUACUGUCUGUUUUCAUACAUUUGGUGUUGCAGUUUAUUCAAAAAAAUAAUGAUAAAGCAGAUUGUGUUUGCAGUAAACGAUUAGUUUAUUUUGUUACUUUUAAUUGGCCUAGAUGACAUUCGGUAUCCCACUUAGUACUAUAUCACUUUGAAUAUUAAGUGUUAAUCAACCCCAGGCUGCUCUUGUAGCUGAAUUUGCUACCAUUUCAGAAUAAAAACCAUAGAUGGGUAAAACAUGUUUGGCUGCUCUUUAAGGUUUUAUGUAUUGACUACAAAUGUGUCGCCAUUAGGGGGAGUUGCUGACUUUGCCAAAUAUUAAUUGAAAGAUUUUUCUGUAAAUUUGCAAAUCUGGUGUCUGCUUCCAUGGCAUUAAUCACUGUGGAUUACAAUCUAACUACAACAAAAAGUUCUCACAUUUAGUUCUACAAGUGUAUUCGUAAUGAUAAUAAUGACAAUAAUCAUUAUUAUUGGCAGUAAUAGAGGGCCCCAAAAUCAAAUUUUGCUUAGGGCCCCAUGGAGGCUUGGGCCGGCUCUGAAGUCACACAAAACAAAACAAACUAAAUCCAACAGAACCUAAACAAAACAAAACAGCAGUGGCAAUCUGCAACAAAACAGAACAAAUAAUUCAAACCACUGUAAAAAAAUAAAGUACACCAUAUAAAACAAAGUCCGCCUUUUAUCUCCAUACACCACUUGCAGCGUCCGCAAAGUUUGUCAUACAAGCUGGCACCAAACAGGAUCAGGACCGCAGACUCACACACACUAACGCGGAAGCGGAGAAGCAGGGAGAAACCGGCACCACACUAGACCAGAACAGCAGACUCACACACGCUGACACCGUCGGAGCCAAAGGGGAGAAGCCGGCACCAGGCUGGACCAGGACAGCAGACUUGCAUGCCCCGACACCGUCAGAGACGAAGGGAGAAGCCGGCACCAAACUGGACAGGGACCGCGGACACGCUGACACAGUCACGGACCAAGAAGCAAAGAGAGGGAGAGCAUCGACAUGCCACAGCUUAUGUAUGAUGGUCCAGCUGGUCAAUUAAGACCCGGAAGUAAAGUGUGGCUACUGGCGAGGGACGUUUUACCCAACUGCCGCUAUCUACCUGCUAUAUAUAAAUAAAUGUAAAUCUGUAGAAACAGUGCUAUAACAGUGUCAGUAGAAGAGGAACAUGUGUAAGAUCCCUUACAUUCUGGUCUACUGGUCUGGUAGUCUGGUUCAUCUUCCCCCUCACACUGUUCCAAGAAGUCUUCCCAGAACGCAGAGUAUGCCUCACUUGACACACUAUCACUGUCCACAGCUUUCUCAUUUGUAAACUCCAUUUUUAGAUUAGAAUUCAGUAGUUUUGGUUCCAUGAAGAUAUUAAGGACAUCAUCAACUGUGUUUACCCGUCUUACUUUCACAAGAAGGAGUUCUUUUUCAAAUGGGUCUGGUGAUGCUGGAAGGCUGCUUGAUGAUACAGGUCCGUCAUUCAGUGUAGAGUGCUGCAAGAUUUUUUAAAAAGGCAAUUAGGCGUGAUUAUUGAUCGAUUAAUCAAUUGGUGAACAGAAAAUGAAUCAACGACUUUGACAAUCAAUAUAUCA